CCUACGGGAGGCAGCAGUGAGGAAUAUUGGUCAAUGGGCGUAAGCCUGAACCAGCCAAGUCGCGUGAGGGAUGAAGGUUCUAUGGAUCGUAAACCUCUUUUAUAAGGGAAUAAAGUGUGGGACGUGUCCUAUUUUGUAUGUACCUUAUGAAUAAGGAUCGGCUAACUCCGUGCCAGCAGCCGCGGUAAUACGGAGGAUCCGAGCGUUAUCCGGAUUUAUGGGGUUUAAAGGGUGCGUAGGCGGCCUUUUAAGUCAGCGGUGAAAGCCUGGGGCUCAACCAUAGACUUGCCGUUGAAACUGGGGGGCUUGGGUAUGUUUGAGGCAGGCGGAGUCCGGGGUGUGGCGGUGAA
rnacentral:rRNA from 1 species